GAUUGCUGGCAGUACAUCUGAUCAUAUUGUCGAGUUCUGCACGAAUAAUGUUGUCAACUGGGUGUCAACAGUGCCAGAACAUGUCGAUGACGCUGCCAUGUUCGGACGGGGUGGCACGUGUCAGGAGUUUAUGAAUUGAAAGCAUGACUUGUCCGUUGUGGCUGUACAUUCAGCAUAGGCAGCAGAUAUAGAGAUUUUAGCAUUAUCUGUGUGCCGAAAUUGUGUGCGAUGCGGUGUCGCGCAGUUGCGACUGUUGUAUUUUGCGAAGGGUCGCUUGUCUACAUUUACGUGAAUGUUCAGUGUACAGUGAAUCACUAGGCUCGCAGCUCGAGGAAGAGCAUUGCAUUAUGUGAUAACUUCUGUGAAAUGCAGGACACACAGAAUAGAGAUUACUUGAACGCAAAUGACAGUCGCGGGACCUGUGCCCGCGGCUACAUCUGUCUGGGGCGAUAAAAAUAUCCCGGAGUAAAGGUUGGUCACCUUAAAAUUGCUCCGGGCAAA
rnacentral:misc_RNA from 1 species